rnacentral:rRNA from 1 species
CACAUGCAAGUCGAACGGUGAUGUCAGAGCUUGCUCUGGCGGAUCAGUGGCGAACGGGUGAGUAACACGUGAGUAACCUGCCCCCGACUCUGGGAUAACUGCUAGAAAUGGUAGCUAAUACCGGAUAUGACGAUUGGCCGCAUGGUCUGGUCGUGGAAAGAAUUUCGGUUGGGGAUGGACUCGCGGCCUAUCAGGUUGUUGGUGAGGUAAUGGCUCACCAAGCCUACGACGGGUAGCCGGCCUGAGAGGGUGACCGGCCACACUGGGACUGAGACACGGCCCAGACUCCUACGGGAGGCAGCAGUGGGGAAUAUUGCACAAUGGGCGCAAGCCUGAUGCAGCAACGCCGCGUGAGGGAUGACGGCCUUCGGGUUGUAAACCUCUUUUAGUAGGGAAGAAGCGAAAGUGACGGUACCUGCAGAAAAAGCACCGGCUAACUACGUGCCAGCAGCCGCGGUAAUACGUAGGGUGCAAGCGUUGUCCGGAAUUAUUGGGCGUAAAGAGCUCGUAGGCGGUUUGUCGCGUCUGCUGUGAAAUCCCGAGGCUCAACCUCGGGUCUGCAGUGGGUACGGGCAGACUAGAGUGCGGUAGGGGAGAUUGGAAUUCCUGGUGUAGCGGUGGAAUGCGCAGAUAUCAGGAGGAACACCGAUGGCGAAGGCAGAUCUCUGGGCCGUAACUGACGCUGAGGAGCGAAAGCAUGGGGAGCGAACAGGAUUAGAUACCCUGGUAGUCCAUGCCGUAAACGUUGGGAACUAGAUGUGGGGACCAUUCCACGGUCUCCGUGUCGCAGCUAACGCAUUAAGUUCCCCGCCUGGGGAGUACGGCCGCAAGGCUAAAACUCAAAGGAAUUGACGGGGGCCCGCACAAGCGGCGGAGCAUGCGGAUUAAUUCGAUGCAACGCGAAGAACCUUACCCAGGCUUGACAUAUACCGGAAACAUGCAGAGAUGUGUGCCCCGCAAGGUCGGUAUACAGGUGGUGCAUGGUUGUCGUCAGCUCGUGUCGUGAGAUGUUGGGUUAAGUCCCGCAACGAGCGCGACCCUCGUUCUAUGUUGCCAGCACGUAAUGGUGGGAACUCAUAGGAGACUGCCGGGGUCAACUCGGAGGAAGGUGGGGAUGACGUCAAAUCAUCAUGCCCCUUAUGUCUUGGGCUUCACGCAUGCUACAAUGGCCGGUACAAAGGGCUGCGAUACCGUAAGGUGGAGCGAAUCCCAAAAAGCCGGUCUCAGUUCGGAUUGAGGUCUGCAACUCGACCUCAUGAAGUCGGAGUCGCUAGUAAUCGCAGAUCAGCAACGCUGCGGUGAAUACGUUCCCGGGCCUUGUACACACCGCCCGUCAAGUCAUGAAAGUCGGUAACACCCGAAGCCAGUGGCCUAACCGCAAGGGAGGAGCUGUCGAAGGUGGGAUCGGUGAUUAGGACUAAGUCGUAACAAGGUAGCCGUACCGGAAGGUGCGGCUGGAUCCCU